UGGUGGAGGAGGCGGCUCUUUUUUUUCGGUCCAGAUUCACGGUUAUGGUGGUCCUUUUAUACUCACCCUGUUAGGGUUUUUGAGUUGGCUACGGAGAUCAAAAGGGGUAUCCCCUUGGAAGUCCUUUAAGGUGCUCCAGUUUGUCUACCUUAUUUGGCGUUUGAUCUGGAAAAGGUAACAUGAAUCCUAUACUUUCUUCUUUUGAAUUUGUCU
rnacentral:lncRNA from 1 species